rnacentral:rRNA from 1 species
GUGGGGAAUAUUGGACAAUGGGCGCAAGCCUGAUCCAGCCAUGCCGCGUGAGUGAUGAAGGCCCUAGGGUUGUAAAGCUCUUUCACCGGUGAAGAUAAUGACGGUAACCGGAGAAGAAGCCCCGGCUAACUUCGUGCCAGCAGCCGCGGUAAUACGAAGGGGGCUAGCGUUGUUCGGAAUUACUGGGCGUAAAGCGCACGUAGGCGGACUGGUCAGUUAGGGGUGAAAUCCCAGGGCUCAACCCUGGAACUGCCUUUAAUACUGCCAGUCUAGAGUUCGAGAGAGGUGAGUGGAAUUCCGAGUGUAGAGGUGAAAUUCGUAGAUAUUCGGAGGAACACCAGUGGCGAAGGCGGCUCACUGGCUCGAUACUGACGCUGAGGUGCGAAAGCAUGGGGAGCAAACAGGAUUAGAUACCCCGGUAGUCC